UACGUAGGGUGCAAGCGUUAUCCGGAAUUAUUGGGCGUAAAGAGCUCGUAGGCGGUUUGUCGCGUCUGCUGUGAAAACUGGAGGCUCAACCUCCAGCCUGCAGUGGGUACGGGCAGACCAGAGUGCGGUAGGGGAGAGUGGAAUUCCUGGUGUAGCGGUGGAAUGCGCAGAUAUCAGGAGGAACACCGAUGGCGAAGGCAGAUCUCUGGGCCGUAACUGACGCUGAGGAGCGAAAGCAUGGGGAGCGAACAGG
rnacentral:rRNA from 1 species